rnacentral:rRNA from 1 species
CAAGGGAUGGCGUUCUMGCGACCGUGGGGCGACCCUCGGUCCGGAGGGCGACCCUCGGUCCGGAUCGCCACCCCGCGGGUGCGGUCAGUCCCGGCGCCGGAGUGACGCACUUCUCCCCCGGUAGAACGUCGCGAUCCGUCGGUCGCCGGCCUAAGGCCCCGGGUGGAGUCUGCUUCGCCGCGCACGACCUCGGGAGUCCGGGCCGGGCGUCCGACGGCACGAAGAGAGGAAGGAGUCGACGCGCCUCCAUUUGGUGGGCGUCCGCCCCUCCGCAAGCGCCCGCGGGAGUGGGAGUUUCCGGGCCCGGCCCGGUCUCCUUCUUCAGCGGGGCU